rnacentral:rRNA from 1 species
CGAGGGGCAUCACGAGGUAGCAAUACUUUGGUGGCGACCGGCGCACGGGUGCGUAACGCGUAUGUAACCUACCUAUAACAGGGGCAUAACACUGAGAAAUUGGUACUAAUUCCCCAUAAUAUUCGGAGAGGCAUCUCUCCGGGUUGAAAACUCCGGUGGUUAUAGAUGGACAUGCGUUGUAUUAGCUAGUUGGUGAGGUAACGGCUCACCAAGGCAACGAUACAUAGGGGGACUGAGAGGUUAACCCCCCACACUGGUACUGAGACACGGACCAGACUCCUACGGGAGGCAGCAGUGAGGAAUAUUGGUCAAUGGACGCAAGUCUGAACCAGCCAUGCCGCGUGCAGGAAGACGGCUCUAUGAGUUGUAAACUGCUUUUGUACGAGGGUAAACUCACCUACGUGUAGGUGACUGAAAGUAUCGUACGAAUAAGGAUCGGCUAACUCCGUGCCAGCAGCCGCGGUAAUACGGAGGAUUCAAGCGUUAUCCGGAUUUAUUGGGUUUAAAGGGUGCGUAGGCGGUUUGAUAAGUUAGAGGUGAAAUCCCGGGGCUUAACUCCGGAACUGCCUCUAAUACUGUUAGACUAGAGAGUAGUUGCGGUAGGCGGAAUGUAUGGUGUAGCGGUGAAAUGCUUAGAGAUCAUACAGAACACCGAUUGCGAAGGCAGCUUACCAAACUAUAUCUGACGUUGAGGCACGAAAGCGUGGGGAGCAAACAGGAUUAGAUACCCUGGUAGUCCACGCAGUAAACGAUGAUAACUCGUUGUCGGCGAUACACAGUCGGUGACUAAGCGAAAGCGAUAAGUUAUCCACCUGGGGAGUACGUUCGCAAGAAUGAAACUCAAAGGAAUUGACGGGGGCCCGCACAAGCGGAGGAACAUGUG